GUUUACACCAGAGCAGCAGGCACUUCCGGGCUGCUCCUUCCAGACAAGGAGCCUCUGUUCGCCUGGUUGGGGGAGGGGGCGGCCACAGCCUCCGACUGUCCCAGCUGAUGCAAUGACAAGACUCCAUGAGGCAAUGAGGACUUCAUCUCCCACAUGUCCGCAGCUCCAAGUCAUACAGUUGGAAAGAUUCUCAUAUGUCCUGGCAAAGAUGAAGGACUCCCUGCAAGCAUGUGCUUUAAAGGAGCCCCCUCCAAAGAAAGCACCCAAACUCCCCGUUCUUGUUGAUACUAUCUUCUACCCUGUGAGAAUUAAUUAAAACACAUGGGUUUUAAAGUGGCAA